UCCGUGCAGAGCACUAUACUAAGUGUACCAUACAACCCAAAGCUUAGUAAAGUACUCUGCGCAUGGU
rnacentral:pre_miRNA from 1 species